rnacentral:rRNA from 1 species
AACGAACGCUGGCGGCAUGCCUAACACAUGCAAGUCGAACGAGACCUUCGGGUCUAGUGGCGCACGGGUGCGUAACACGUGGGAAUCUGCCCUUUGCUUCGGAAUAACAGUUAGAAAUGACUGCUAAUACCGGAUGAUGUCGAAAGACCAAAGAUUUAUCGGCAAAGGAUGAGCCCGCGUAGGAUUAGGUAGUUGGUGGGGUAAAGGCCUACCAAGCCGACGAUCCUUAGCUGGUCUGAGAGGAUGAUCAGCCACACUGGGACUGAGACACGGCCCAGACUCCUACGGGAGGCAGCAGUGGGGAAUAUUGGACAAUGGGCGAAAGCCUGAUCCAGCAAUGCCGCGUGAGUGAUGAAGGCAUUAGGGUUGUAAAGCUCUUUUACCAGGGAUGAUAAUGACAGUACCUGGAGAAUAAGCUCCGGCUAACUCCGUG